rnacentral:rRNA from 1 species
GGGUUUGAUCCUGGCCCAGGAUGAACGCUGGCGGCGUGCCUUAGGCAUGCAAGUGGAACGAUCCUUAGAGUAAUCGAAGGAAAGUCGCGAACGGCUGAGUAUAUAGUAGGAAUCUACCCUUUGGCGGGGAAUACCCCCGAGAAAUCGGGGCUAAUACCGCAUGACCUCGUGAGAGAAAAGGGCGUAACUGCCCGCCGAAGGAGGAGCCUACUUCCCAUCAGCUUGUUGGUAGGGUAACGGCCUACCAAGGCUACGACGGGUAGGGGGCGUGAGAGCGUGACCCCCCAGAAUGGCACUGAGAUACGGGCCAUACACCUACGGGUGGCAGCAACCGGGAAUCGUGCGCAAUGGACGAAAGUCUGACGCCGCGACGCCGCGUGAGGGAUUGAAGGCGCUUGUCGUCGUAAACCUCUUUUGACCUGAGAGAGAUCGAAGGUAGAAUAAGCACUCGCUAACUACGUGCCAGCAGCUGCGGUAAUACGUAGAGUGCAAGCGUUAUCCGGAUUUAUUGGGCGUAAAGCGUUUCGUAGGCUGUUAACUAAGUUUCACUUCAAAGACCGGAGCUCAACUUCGGGAAGGGGUGAAAUACUAUUUGACUUGAAAUACUCCGGGGUUACUGGAACUGUCGGUGUAGGGGUGAAAUCCGUUGAUAUCGACAGGAACUCCAAGGGCGAAGGCAGGUAACUAGGAGAUAUUUGACGCUGAGGAACGACAGCUAGGGGAGCGAAAGGGAUUAGAGACCCCUGUAGUCCUAGCCGUAAACGAUGCUCGCUAGCUCGCCGAGUUUGACUUGGUGGGCGUAAGCUAACGCGUGAAGCGAGCCGCCUGGGGAGUACGAACGCAAGUUUAAAACUCAAAGGAAUUGACGGGGACCUGCACAACCAGUGGAGCAUGUGGUUUAAUUCGAAACAAACCGAAGAACCUUACCCGGGUUUGACAUCCAGCACUUAAUGCCUAUGUAGAAAUACUGUAGGAAUCGUAAUUUAUUAUGAAGUGCCGGACAGGUGUUGCAUGGCUGUCGUCAGCUCGUGCCGUGGGGUGUUCCCUUCAGUGGGGUAACGAGCGCAACCCCCGUCUCGUGUUGAAUAUUCACGAGAGACUUUCGACCUUUUGGUUGAAGGAAGUGGGGACGACGUCAAGUCAGCAUGGCCCUUAUAUCCGGGGCGACACACAUGCUACAAUGGAGCCGACAAUGGGUUGCCAAGCCGUAAGGCGGAGCUAAUCCCAUCAAACGGCUUCUCAGUGGGGAUUGAGGGCUGCAACUCGCCCUCAUGAACGCGGAAUUGGUAGUAAUCGCGGAUCAGCUAUGCCGCGGUGAAUACGUUCUCGGGUCUUGUACACACCGCCCUUUAAUACAUACAUCGUAUUUUACGAAGUAUAGUAAUAUAGGAAUAGGUAAGAACGCGCCUUGCAGUCAUAUCUUCUAGU